rnacentral:rRNA from 1 species
GACGAAGGGGGCCAGCGUUUGUUCGGAAUUACUGGGCGUAAAGCGAGUGUAGGUGGUUGUCAUAGUCAAGGCGUGAAAGCCUUGAGCUCAACUCAAGAAAUGCGCUUAUACUGGGCAGCUAGAGGACCGGGAGAGGAGAGUGGAAUUCCCGGUGUAGCGGUGAAAUGCGCAGAUAUCGGGAAGAACACCCGUGCGAAGGCGGCUCUCUGGGACGGUACUGGACGCUGAGACGCGAAAGCGUGGGAGCGAACAGG